CCCUUAGAUGUCCUGGGCCGCACGCGUGCUACACUGACGCAUACAGCGAGCACUUUCCAGUUCCGAGAGGCUACUGGUAAUCAUCAAUAUGCGUCGUGAUGGGGAUAGAUCUUUGGAAUUCUGGAUCUUGAACGAGGAAUGCCUAGUAAUCGCAGGUCAUUAGCCUGCGAUGAUUAAGUCCCUGCCCUUUGUACACACCGCCCGUCGCUACUACCGAUUUCUAGUGGUCAGGUGAAUCUUUCGGACUGUGGGCGCCCUUGAGGUGUUCGCGGAAAGUCAGGUAAAUCUUAUCACUUAGAGGAAGUAAAAGUCGUAACA
rnacentral:rRNA from 1 species